CGGGGUGUAGCGCAGCCUGGUAGCGCUCUUGCUUUGGGAGCAAGAUGUCGGAGGUUCAAAUCCUCUCACCCCGACCA
rnacentral:tRNA from 1 species